GAAUAUAACUAACUAACUAACUUCCUUCCUUCCUUCCUUCCUUCCUCCCUCCCUCCCUCCCUGCCUUCCCUUCCUUCCUGCCUUCCUUCUUCCUUCCUCCCUUUUUUCUUUUCUCCCUUCCUUCCUUCUUAAUAUGUUUUUGGCCUUUUCUUUAUAUAUGUGGCCUAGCAAUAUCCUGUGUUUGGAAAAGUAUAAACCUAAGGCAUCACCUUUACAGAAAAUAUCUUCCACGGAAACAUCUAAAGGCAAAAAUCCUUCAAAUUCAAAUUUAUCCAAUCAUUUCUUCUGCUUACUACCAUCCUAAAUCAUUUUUCUUUAGUAAGAUCUAUUAGUGGGAAGCUAUUAAGCUAUUAAUGUAUCAUAUUAAUUGUAUUCAGAUAUUAAGUGAGGAGGUAAAGUUGCAUUCACAGGCCUUGAACUUUUCCACAUCUCGAUUUUUACCCAUCAUCUCUGAAUAGUUCCCUAAGGCAGCCUUCAAAUGGUGAUGUUUCUUAUAAUCCAGAGUUCAGAAGUGGCUUCUCUUCAAUCUUUCUGUGGAAUUCUAAACCAUGUGAUAAAGGAGCUGGUGGUGAGAAAUAAGGGAAGGCAGAGAUGAAAAGGAAUGGGCAGAAGCUUUUGGAGAGGAAUAACCACUGAGAUUGCCAUGAAAGAUUCAUUCUGACAUUCUUUUCAUGUAUUUAAUGCAAUCAAAAAAGAAUCCACAGCUAACCACGCCACAGAUCAGCCCUGGGGUUCAGAGGGAUCCUGACGGCUACUCCUCAAGAUCCUCUCUGUUGUGAUUCAUCCCCCCCGGGCCCUACAGUUUCUCCUUCCUGACUCUUACAUUUCUUUGGAUGGCAUCAUUAUUUACCUGUCUCCUCCCAUAGUUAGGUGCCAAGCACUGUGGAUUCUGCCCCUCAGUGUCCAGACACCCAUU
rnacentral:antisense_RNA from 1 species